UGUGACGGUAUCACAAACCAAUAGAUUAAAUCACUUUUCGUGACACCAUCACAAACUUGGUGUGAGAUCGGGUUACUUUUGGUGUGUGUGUGUG